rnacentral:rRNA from 1 species
AUGAACGCUAGCUACAGGCUUAACACAUGCAAGUCGAGGGGCAGCAUGGUCUUAGCUUGCUAAGGCCGAUGGCGACCGGCGCACGGGUGAGUAACACGUAUCCAACCUGCCGUCUACUCUUGGACAGCCUUCUGAAAGGAAGAUUAAUACAAGAUGGCAUCAUGAGUCCACAUGUUCACAUGAUUAAAGGUAUUCCGGUAGACGAUGGGGAUGCGUUCCAUUAGAUAGUAGGCGGGGUAACGGCCCACCUAGUCUUCGAUGGAUAGGGGUUCUGAGAGGAAGGUCCCCCACAUUGGAACUGAGACACGGUCCAAACUCCUACGGGAGGCAGCAGUGAGGAAUAUUGGUCAAUGGGCGAGAGCCUGAACCAGCCAAGUAGCGUGAAGGAUGACUGCCCUAUGGGUUGUAAACUUCUUUUGUAAAGGAAUAAAGUCGGGUAUGGAUACCCGUUUGCAUGUACUUUAUGAAUAAGGAUCGGCUAACUCCGUGCCAGCAGCCGCGGUAAUACGGAGGAUCCGAGCGUUAUCCGGAUUUAUUGGGUUUAAAGGGAGCGUAGAUGGAUGUUUAAGUCAGUUGUGAAAGUUUGCGGCUCAACCGUAAAAUUGCAGUUGAUACUGGAUAUCUUGAGUGCAGUUGAGGCAGGCGGAAUUCGUGGUGUAGCGGUGAAAUGCUUAGAUAUCACGAAGAACUCCGAUUGCGAAGGCAGCCUGCUAAGCUGCAACUGACAUUGAGGCUCGAAAGUGUGGGUAUCAAACAGGAUUAGAUACCCUGGUAGUCCACACGGUAAACGAUGAAUACUCGCUGUUUGCGAUAUACGGCAAGCGGCCAAGCGAAAGCGUUAAGUAUUCCACCUGGGGAGUACGCCGGCAACGGUGAAACUCAAAGGAAUUGACGGGGGCCCGCACAAGCGGAGGAACAUGUGGUUUAAUUCGAUGAUACGCGAGGAACCUUACCCGGGCUUAAAUUGCAGAUGAAUUACGGUGAAAGCCGUAAGCCGCAAGGCAUCUGUGAAGGUGCUGCAUGGUUGUCGUCAGCUCGUGUCGUGAGAUGUUGGGUUAAGUCCCGCAACGAGCGCAACCCUUAUCCUUUGUUGCCAGCGGUCCGGCCGGGAACUCAAAGGAGACUGCCAGUGAUAAACUGGAGGAAGGUGGGGAUGACGUCAAAUCAUCAUGCCCUUUAUGACUUGGGCUACACACGUACUACAAUGGCAGUCAUACAGAGGGAAGCAAAAUCGCGAGGUGGAGCAAAUCCCUAAAAGCUGUCCCAGUUCAGAUUGCAGGCUGCAACCCGCCUGCAUGAAGUCGGAAUUGCUAGUAAUCGCGGAUCAGCAUGCCGCGGUGAAUACGUUCCCGGGCCUUGUACACACCGCCCGUCACACCAUGGGAGUCAGUAACGCCCGAAGUCAGUGACCCAACCGUAAGGAGGGAGCUGCCGAAGGCAGGAUCGAUAACUGGGGUG